UACGUAGGCGGCCAUAUAAGUCAGAAGUGAAAGGCUACAGCUUAACCGUAGUAAGCUUUUGAAACUGUAUGGCUUGAGUGCAGGAGAGGAAAGCGGAAUUCCUAGUGUAGCGGUGAAAUGCGUAGAUAUUAGGAAGAACACCAGUAGCGAAGGCGGCUUUCUGGACUGAAACUGACGUUGAGGUACGAAAGCGUGGGGAGCGAACAGGAUUAGAUACCCUGGUAGUC
rnacentral:rRNA from 1 species